rnacentral:rRNA from 1 species
UGGGGAAUUUUGGACAAUGGGGGAAACCCUGAUCCAGCCAUCCCGCGUGUGCGAUGAAGGCCUUCGGGUUGUAAAGCACUUUUGGCAGGAAAGAAACGUCAUGGGUUAAUACCCCGUGAAACUGACGGUACCUGCAGAAUAAGCACCGGCUAACUACGUGCCAGCAGCCGCGGUAAUACGUAGGGUGCAAGCGUUAAUCGGAAUUACUGGGCGUAAAGCGUGCGCAGGCGGUUCGGAAAGAAAGAUGUGAAAUCCCAGAGCUCAACUUUGGAACUGCAUUUUUAACUACCGGGCUAGAGUGUGUCAGAGGGAGGUGGAAUUCCGCGUGUAGCAGUGAAAUGCGUAGAUAUGCGGAGGAAUACCGAUGGCGAAGGCAGCCUCCUGGGAUAAAACUGACGAUCAUGCACGAAAGCGUGGGGAGCAAACAGG